ACAUCCCCACCUUCCAGGUGAGGAAACCGAGGCACCGAGAGCUGGGGGCCAGGCCAGGGGGUCUCCCUGGGGGGAGCAGAGGAGUGUCGGACCUCAGAAGAGGCUCUGGGGGUCUGAGCCGCCACCGGGCGCUGCCUUCCAGGUUCAGCAGGGACAGAGCUCAGGGGGAAGGCACCUCCCGUCCUGGUUCAAUACAUGGACCCCUGACCCUGGGAAAGGGACUGAGCCAGGGGAGGCCUCAGGUCACUGCACCAUGAAGUUGUGGGGAGCUGCGGGGGCCUCUGGGCUCCGAGCUGGGCAGGCACAGCGUGGGGACCACGUGCCGAGGGGAAGAAGCGUGCCAGGGUGGACGUCUCAGUGCACACGCAGGAACAUGCAACGGCUGAGCCAGCCCAGAGAGGCAGCGGAGCGUGUGCGGGGCGGCCGGCGGAGGAGCAGCAGGAUCCCAGGCGGGAGCGCACGGCCUUUUCGGAGGCAGGUUCCAGGACAAUACUAAGCGUUUACAUCAUUGCACUAUUUGAUCCAGGAGGUCCCACUGUGGCGUUUCAUCGAUAAACGCACAUGCGAGGUGGAGGGUGGCUGGUGUGGAAUGUGCCCGGCAGCCUUCAUAGCAAAGGAGAAUUCUAGAACCAACCGAAGUGCCCCUCUGAAGGGAGCUGGUCCCGUCCGUUCCAGCCGCCGUGGAGUAACACAGCCAGCAGUUUCCCUCCUGCCACGAAAGCUCGAGACUGAAACUCAGGAUGAACUGUUUUCAGCCCGGGUCACCCCAGCCCUGGGGUGGAGGCCCAUUGAGGAUGGCCGAGCAGGGGCGGGCAUCCAGGCAGGUCCAGCAGUCCUGGCGGGCUGAGGAGAAGGAGGUCAGUGCUCAGGGAGACAUCCGCAGAGGGACCUGGCAGGCAGAGCUCCAGAAGGGAGGGAACUGCACAGACAGAAAGCUCCAGAAGGCUGCCUGAGGGCCUCUGAGGCCUCCGGAGUCAGGCGCCAUGGAUGUGGAAGGUGGACUCUUCAGCAUGGAUGGGACCCUAGGGGGCUGUGGACCCCCGGCCCCUGGGACUCACAGGUGGGAGACAGGAGUUCCAACCGCCAGGGGGAGAGUCCUGGAGGAUCCUGGGCUGUUGGCAGCCACCCAGCAGGGCCCGUCCUGGGAGUGGGGCUGGACUCUUCCUGCAGGAAAGGCUGGGCUGGACCUGCUCUGAGAGGCUUCAGAACCAGCCACACGAAGACCAAAGUGAAGAGCAAGGAGCUGAACUCCACGCAGAACACAGCGCAGCGUCCUUUAAAGGAAGGCCAAAAACAACCCAACAAAAAUGCCAGGUGAUCAAAGCGGUCACAGCACAAUGUCCACAUCCAACGAGAAAUUGCUACUACGUCCAGACGCAGGGAAAGGUGGCCGUGGGAACGUGAGUCAGCAGCAACAGGCCCAGAAGGGCAGCCACGGUGGACUUGUCAGACGUGGACCCUGAAAUGACAAUCACAGCAUGAUUUCAGGCAGGAGCCUGAAAUGGUACAGCUUUGGACAUCGGUUUGGCAAAUUCUUUUAGAGAGAAACACACACCUUCCCUAGGACCCAGCAACUCCACUCCUAAUAACCAAGUGAAAUGGAAGGAGUUGUCCUCAGCAAAACGUGUGUGCGGAAGUUCACAGUCACUUUCUCGGUGAUAACCAAGAGCUGGAAACCACUGCAACACCCACCAGCAGGUGAACGGAUUAACACACUGGGCUAGGGCCACACAAUGAGAUGCUCCGUGGCAACACAAAAUGAACCGUGGACACACACUGCACGGCGGAUGAAUAUGCAGACAUCAGGCCACGUGAAGGGAGCCAGGCCCCGAGGCGCCACGCUUUGUGAUUCAGGAAAGAAAGCACGCAGCCAAAGAGCGCAAAGAGGCUCAGAGGAGGCCCGGGUGCCCUGGAGAGACGCUGCGUCCUGACGACACAGCAUCCCUGUCCCGCAGCGGAGAUUUCCCAGAUGAAGGAUUCCCCGGCGGGAGACAGGGCCCUGCACACAGGUCCUCUGCCACGCUGCUCACCAUGCCUGUGUGUUAUCUCCCCAUGAAAAGUCACCUAGGCCGAGCAUGGUGGCUCACGCCUGUAAUCCCAGCACUUUGGGAGGUGGAGGCGUGCGGAUCAUCUGAGAUCAGGAGUUUGAGACCAUCCUGAGUAACAUGGUGAAACCCCGUCUCUAGGAAGAAUACAAAAAUUAACUGGG
rnacentral:lncRNA from 1 species